GGAGCCGCUGUUGGGAUACCACCCUUGCAGUAUUGGGUUUCUAACCAGCCGCCGUGACCCGGCGGUGGGACAAUGCCAGACGGGGAGUUUGACUGGGGCGGUCGCCUCCGAAAGGGUAUCGGAGGCGCCCAAAGGUUCCCUCAGAAUGGACGGAAACCAUUCGAAGAGUGCAAAGGCAGAAGGGAGCUUGACUGCGACACCGACGGGUGGAGCAGGUACGAAAGUAGGGCUUAGUGAUCCGGUGGUAUUAAGUGGGAAUGCCAUCGCUCAACGGAUAAAAGCUACCCUGGGGAUAACAGGCUUAUCACUCCCAAGAGUUCACAUCGACGGAGUGGUUUGGCACCUCGAUGUCGGCUCAUCGCAUCCUGGGGCUGUAGUAGGUCCCAAGGGUUGGGCUGUUCGCCCAUUAAAGCGGUACGCGAGCUGGGUUCAGAACGUCGUGAGACAGUUCGGUCCCUAUCCGGCGUGGGCGUAGGAUAUCUGAGAGGAGCUGUCCUUAGUACGAGAGGACCGGGAUGGACGGGCCGCUGGUGCAUCGGUUAGACUGCCAAGUCUACGGCCGAGUAGCCAAGCCCGGAAGGGAUAAACGCUGAAGGCAUCUAAGCGUGAAGCCCCCCUUAAGAUGAGAUAUCCCAUUCG
rnacentral:rRNA from 2 species